GGGGCCUUCGCGUGUUCUGCCUUCGGUGUCAAUGCCCUGGACAUCGCCCGCGCAGUACGCUAGUUUAUUGAUGGGUUUCACGAACACAUUCAGCUGCCUACCAGGAAUGAUCAGUCCCAUUCUAGCAGGAUACCUAGUUCAGCACAAGGAAGCGUCCGAGUGGAAAUCAGUAUUCCUGAUCACCAGCGGUGUGUACGUCUUCGGGGCUGUUUUUACGGAAUAUUCGCAGACGGGAAUAUUCAGUCGUGGGCCAGGGACGAUUCGAAGCCAGAAAAAAGCAUAUCUCAACCGAAGGACACAGAGAAACAGCAACCUGACCUAGGCGACAUUACUAAGUGUACCGCCAACCUGCCUUCGUCAUUCGAGAACUCUGCCUGUACCGUUCAGGAGUGAGAAAUGAAACAGGGAUUGAAGGGUCCUGUGCAUGAAAUUGUUAGCUCCUUUUAUGAUAUAGAGAGAGAAUUCACGGAAAAAAUUAAAUUGCCGGUUUAACGAUUCAAUUGCUAUGAAAAGUGACUGCAAUGUUUUAAUGUAGAUUUUACAACAAAAAAAAUGCUAUUUUAACCGCCCCCGUGGUUAAAGUAGCUUACAAUAGUGGUUAAGGUGAUUCGAAUGACGCCAUAUUUUGUAUCAGAACGGCAUGUGAUAUAUCGCAGCAAUUUGGUUUCAUUUUUUCAGCUACUCGUCAUUUUCUCCAAUUUGAGAUCGCAAUUCUGUUGUCAGGAGACUAAAGCACUCACUUACCAAUUUUAACAAAGAAAGUCAACGUAAUAAAGGCGUGGUUUUUUUAGAGAGAAAACAUCACAUUCGAUACUGAUAUCGAAACUGCACUCGAAUGCGAUAUUAUCUCUCUAAAAAAACCACGCCUUUAUUGCGUUGAAUUUCUUUGUUUAAAUUGGUUAGUGAGUGCUUUAGUCUCCUGACAACAGAAUUGCGAUCUCAAAUUUGGGGAAAAAAUGACGAGUAGCUGAAAAAAUGAAACCAAUUGAUGCGAUAUAUCGCAUGCCGUUCUGACACAAAAUAUGGCUUCCAUCGAAUCAGCUUAAAGUAGCAUUUUUUUGUUGUAAAAUCUACGUUGAAACGUUGCAAUCACCUUUUUUAGAAAUCGAAUUGUUAAAUCAGCAAUUUAAUUUUCUCCGUGUUAAGGUUUUGAGUCGAGUUUUAUAGCCUGUAGAAGACUGAAAACUGGAGGAUCAAAAUAAAAAUUGAGUUUCAAUAUUUUUUAGAUAAAUAAUCACGGUUAUAAUGAUCGAGAAUAAUCAAUAAUCGAUACCUCGAUUCUUUAAAAAAGUAUCAUUCAAUGUGUUCAUGCGUUGGGAUUUUCAACUACCCACCAGUGUCAAAAUGUAUCACUAGAUCUGCAAAAUUGCGCUUUAUAUUCUGCUUGAAAUUGGUUUGAACCAGCACUGAGAAGUUCAGUUGAAUACUGGGUCUAGGAUGAAAAACGCUCUCUAAAUCUUCGUAAGAACAAGGUUUGUUUGCUUCGGAUUCAAACAUGCAAGGGAGGGUACAAUCAGGCGAACUUUCUGAGAAUAAUCAUAGCCCCAGAAAUGAAAAAAAACCAAGUCUGAUCCUUGAUAAUUGCGCUGUUUGAAUCCAAUAUUUUACGGUUGGCAUCUUCACUGAUGUAUAAGAUUUUGUUAUCAAAUGAUUCAAAAUUAUCAUAACUUUCUCUUCUAUGAAAAGAAACUGUCAACUCGAUUUUAGAUGUUUCAAAGAUAAACUUCCUAUCCUCUGGAUCCUUGUUAAAUAUGGCAGGCAAAUUGUUAGUUGCAACGAAGAGGAUAUAGUGAUUCGUGUAUUCGUAGGAAUUACAAGACUGUAAGUAACUUUUGAGUAUGGAGAUAUGAAGUAAGUUGUGUCAGUAUUGCCUUGAAAGAACUUAAAAGCAUAGUUUUUAAAACUUCUCUUCUUUUUUAUCUCCAUGCCAUCUUAAUAUGAUUGCCAUAGUAAGAUUGCCAUAUUAGUUGCCAUAUACGGAUGGUGAUGGUAUUGCGAUGUACCUGUUUUAAUUCAUUUGUAAUUAUGAAAAACAAGUGACUUAGUUUGCAAAGUUGCCAAAUUUAUGGGACAGUGCAUUUUUUAGAAGUAAGAACUUAACAAAAAUUGAUAAAUAAUUGACUCUUGAUUUGAGUGUUCGCCCCCUUGUUAUGCGUAUACCUAAUCAAAAAAUAUGUUUCAAAAAUGUUGGUUAUAAUGGUUGGCAUGUGCAAUGGGCUAACUAACCAUGUUUAAUUAUUUAUCUUCCUUUGAAUUCCACACGAUUUUUUUUAUUCUUUUUAAAAUAUGUCAUUCUUUAUUGAUUUCCUACGUCCGAUGUGAAGUGCUCGAACUGAAUUAAGUUUAAUGGAAAGAAACCAAGUCACGUUAAGUCAUGGAAGAGAUAAAUAUAUAUUAAAGUUCCUUGUUCUACAACAAUAAAGAUAAAACGUGAUCUUUGAGUCCAUAUCAUAAAUUUUGAAAAUCAUUCGUCGGAUUUGAGAUCUUAACAGGGAACUCUAGUGUACUCGUUGAGCUUCAAAUCUUUGAUGAUGUACUUUCCUUGAAAAUAUGAUGCGGUUUUCUUCGUUAAAUUUAAUCCAAUUUUCUCAUCUGAAAUGCCUAAUUUUUACUCUUAAGAUGCUUACUCAGUAUGUAAAUACACAAUCAUUAUUUGUAAUUUUUAAUUUGCUCUGCAUUCAUUCUUUGUUUCGAAACGGACCAUUUUCAUCCCAGUGUUUUCUCACUUCGUGAACAAAAUUUUACUCGAUACUUACAACAUGAAGACCAAGAAAAAAGCAGGGGAAAAAAUAAAUAAAUAUACCCACCGAACAAAUUAUUGGAAUUGAUUAAGCUCUAUCACUCGCGGAGGGAAAUACUUAAAUCUAUCCAGGUAGCCUUCUCGAAUGAGCUCUGGCUGGGAUAAUGUUUUAGCCUGUGAAAUGACACGGAACCAUGGUAAGUUGCAUCAUUCAAUUUUGAAGGGGACUUGGGAAUCGUCUCACUCAUUAUUUCACAAGUCACAAUCAACACAAAACGAACAGAGAGUAGAUGCGUUCUCUCUCAAGGCCGAAUUGAGGGGAU
rnacentral:lncRNA from 1 species